CCUACGGGAGGCAGCAGUGGGGAAUCUUGCACAAUGGAGGAAACUCUGAUGCAGCGAUGCCGCGUGAGUGAAGAAGGCCUUUGGGUUGUAAAGCUCUUUUGUAGGGGAAGAUAAUGACUGUACCCUAAGAAUAAGGUCCGGCUAACUUCGUGCCAGCAGCCGCGGUAAUACGAAGGGACCUAGCGUAGUUCGGAAUUACUGGGCGUAAAGCGCGCGUAGGCCGUUGAGUUAGUUAAUUGUGAAAUCCCAAAGCUUAACUUUGGAACUGCAAUUAAAACUGCUCGACUAGAGUUUGAUAGAGGAAAGCGGAAUACAUAGUGUAGAGGUGAAAUUCGUAGAUAUUAUGUAGAACACCAGUUGCGAAGGCGGCUUUCUGGAUCAACACUGACGCUGAGGCGCGAAAGUAUGGGUAGCAAAGAGGAUUAGAUACCCUCGUAGUCCGUACCAUAAACGAUGAUUGCUAGAUGUUGGAAAUUUAUUUUCAGUAUCGCAGCUAACGCAUUAAGCAAUCCGCCUGGGGAUACGACCGCAAGGUUAAAACCUUAAAGUAUAGUAGCGNGNGAGAGCGACGACGACGACGACGGAGGAGAG
rnacentral:rRNA from 1 species